rnacentral:rRNA from 1 species
UACGUAGGGUGCGAGCGUUACCCGGAAUUAUUGGGCGUAAAGAGCUCGUAGGCGGUCUGUCGCGUCUGCUGUGAAAACUGGGGGCUCAACCCCCAGCCUGCAGUGGGUACGGGCAGACUAGAGUGCGGUAGGGGAGAUUGGGAUUCCUGGUGUAGCGGUGGAGUGCGCAGAUAUCAGGAGGAACACCGAUGGCGAAGGCAGAUCUCUGGGCCGUAACUGACGCUGAGGAGCGAAAGCAUGGGGAGCGAACAGG